UGAGGAAUAUUGGUCAAUGGGCGAGAGCCUGAACCAGCCAAGUAGCGUGCAGGAUGACGGCCCUAUGGGUUGUAAACUGCUUUUAUGUGGGGAUAAAGUGCGUGACGUGUCAUGCAUUGCAGGUACCACAUGAAUAAGGACCGGCUAAUUCCGUGCCAGCAGCCGCGGUAAUACGGAAGGUCCGGGCGUUAUCCGGAUUUAUUGGGUUUAAAGGGAGCGUAGGCUGUCUAUUAAGCGUGUUGUGAAAUUUACCGGCUCAACCGGUGGCUUGCAGCGCGAACUGGUCGACUUGAGUAUGCAGGAAGUAGGCGGAAUUCAUGGUGUAGCGGUGAAAUGCUUAGAUAUCAUGACGAACUCCGAUUGCGCAGGCAGCUUACUGUAGCAUAACUGACGCUGAUGCUCGAAAGUGCUGGUAUCAAACAGG
rnacentral:rRNA from 1 species